GAAUCCGCUAAGGAGUGUGUAACAACUCACCUGCCGAAUGAAUUAGCCCUGAAAAUGGAUGGCGCUGAAGCGGGUAGCCGACACUAYGCCGUCUGACGUAAUUUUUUUUUAUCGUUCAGAUGAGUAGGAGGACGUGGCGGUUGUAUAGAAGCGUGUGCGCGAGCAUGCGUGGAACGGCCGCUAGUGCAGAUCUUGGUGGUAGUAGCAAAUAUUCAAAUGAGAUCCUUGAAGGGCGAAGCGGGGAAGGGUUCCACGCGAACAUUGAUUGAGCGUGGGUUAGUCGUUCCUAAGCCGUCUGGCAAUAGCUAGGCACCGGCGAAAGGGAAGCAGGUUGAUAUUCCUGCACACGGAUGUAGAUGCGGUGACGCACGCUGUGGCGGUGACGUUGUCGGUACGCACUGGGCAGAGAUUUCUUUUCUGUUUGACAGAUCCAAGCGCACGCUGUGGAAUCCGCUUGUCGGGAGAAACAGGUGUGUUGUGGCAGAGCGCCGGGUAUUAUCUGGCGUCCAGUUUGCGACCGGCGGCCCUUGAAAAACCGUCCGCGAUAAGAUUCUACGCCGUAACGUACCCAUAACCGCAUCAGGUCCCCAAGGUGAACAGCCUCUGUCCGAUAUGAAAAAUGCAGGUAAGGGAAGUCGGCA
rnacentral:rRNA from 1 species